GACGAACGCUGGCGGCGUGCUUAACACAUGCAAGUCGAACGGGGAACAUUUAGCAAUAGGUGUUCUUAGUGGCGGACUGGUGAGUAACGCGUGAGCAACUUGCCCUUCAGUGGGGGACAACAGUUGGAAACGACUGCUAAUACCGCAUAAAAUAUAGAGGUGGCAUCACUUUUAUAUCAAAGAUUUAUUGCUGAAGGAUGGGCUCGCGUCUGAUUAGCUAGUUGGUGAGGUAAUGGCUCACCAAGGCGACGAUCAGUAGCCGGACUGAGAGGUUGACCGGCCACAUUGGGACUGAGAUACGGCCCAGACUCCUACGGGAGGCAGCAGUGGGGAAUAUUGGGCAAUGGGCGAAAGCCUGACCCAGCAACGCCGCGUGAAGGAAGAAGGCCCUCGGGUUGUAAACUUCUUUGACCAGGGACGAAACAAAUGACGGUACCUGGAAAACAAGCCACGGCUAACUACGUG
rnacentral:rRNA from 1 species